ensembl:lncRNA
CUGCAUGUUGGAAGUGCUGUGAAUUCCAAGGAUAAACAUGUAAUGGUAGUAUGAAAUAGUAUUAUGUUUAUUAUGAGCCAAGGGUUUCUUCUCUUACUUUUGGCCAGACAAACAAGGUCAGCUGGAAGGAGGGUAGAGCACAACAGAAGCGGGGACUGGCUUGGAAGACACUGCAGCCACUAUUGAUUUUCACCUGUGUGAAGCAAUCAUUGGUGGAGUCCAGAAACUGCAUCUGUAAACUCAGUCUCAUGACAUUUGGGCAGCUUGUGUACCAGCAACUGAAGCUCUCCAUCGUGGGGUACUGUGCAACUUCACUUUCUUGGAUGAGCUGUGCAAAGCACCA